UUUAUGUUCAUCUUUUUCACCGAAAGUAGAAAAGAAAAAAAAAGAGUUUGAAAGCUUCAAAUAUUCGGCCAUUUUGAAGCUUAAUUCAAGAUCAAGAAACCAAGAAAUCAGAUUUAGAUCGGGGGAAAUUGAAAGUAGUUGAGUAGCCGAUCUAUUAGUCGACGACAUCCGAGAUUUUGGUGAACGCUACGUGUUCGGGGAUCGUCAGCUAAGCUCAUCACACUAUCGAUAUUUUCUUUUGUAAUGGAUCCCGAUCGAACUGUAGCGGAUGAUGUCGAGAGUGUAGCUCCUGCUCCCGUGCAAGGGACGGAGCCGGUUGAUUCUCGACCGAAUACGAGUAACCAUGGUGAUGAGACUAAACAAGCCUUCUAUUCUAUGAUGAAUGAAUGGUUUACUCAAUAUAUCCGGACAAAUCCGGCUGUUUAACAACCUCCGACCCCGAUUAACCCACUUCCGAUACCUGUGGUACCUCCAACUAUUGAUCCUAUGAGAUUGAAUAAACCUCCUGUUGAUAAGAUAAGAAAACACGGAGCUGAAGAAUUUAGGGCCACAGCUAGUGAUGAUGCAGAACGGGCUGAGUUUUGGUUCGAUAAUACCAUUCGUGUCUUCGAUGAAUUAUCCUGUACACCUGAUGAGUGCCUGAAAUGUGCGAUAUCUUUGUUACGGGAUUCAGCUUACUAUUGGUGGAACACUCUAGUUUCGAUUGUUCCGAAAGAGCGUGUCACUUGGGAUUUCUUUCAGACAGAAUUUCGUAAAAAGUAUAUCAGUCAGCGAUUCAUUGAUCAGAAACGCAAAGAAUUUCUCGAGCUAAAGCAGGGUCGUAUGACCGUAUCUGAUUAUGACCGAAGCGCCGCUAAUAGUAACAAAAAUCUUAUAAGUUGAAAUAAUUAAUAUUUUGUUCUAUUUA